rnacentral:rRNA from 4 species
CCGGAGAAUGUUAUCACGGGAGACACACGGCGGGUGCUAACGUCCGUCGUGAAGAGGGAAACAACCCAGACCGCCAGCUAAGGUCCCAAAGUCAUGGUUAAGUGGGAAACGAUGUGGGAAGGCCCAGACAGCCAGGAUGUUGGCUUAGAAGCAGCCAUCAUUUAAAGAAAGCGUAAUAGCUCACUGGUCGAGUCGGCCUGCGCGGAAGAUGUAACGGGGCUAAACCAUGCACCGAAGCUGCGGCAGCGAACGUAUCACCCAAGACAACUUUACGGAGUUGACGAUUGACGGAGCGAAGCGACGUCAAAGCGUUCAUUAAAGUCGAGUUGGCUUAGGGAUACGUUCGUUGGGUAGGGGAGCGUUCUGUAAGCCUGUGAAGGUGUGUCGUGAGGCAUGCUGGAGGUAUCAGAAGUGCGAAUGCUGACAUAAGUAACGAUAAAGCGGGUGAAAAGCCCGCUCGCCGGAAGACCAAGGGUUCCUGUCCAACGUUAAUCGGGGCAGGGUGAGUCGACCCCUAAGGCGAGGCCGAAAGGCGUAGUCGAUGGGAAACGGGUUAAUAUUCCCGUACUUGGUGUUACUGCGAAGGGGGGACGGAGAAGGCUAUGUUGGCCGGGCGACGGUUGUCCCGGUUUAAGCGUGUAGGUGUGUGUUCCAGGUAAAUCCGGUUCACUUUAACACUGAGGCGUGACGACGAGGCACUACGGUGCUGAAGCAACAAAUGCCCUGCUUCCAGGAAAAGCCUCUAAGCAUCAGGUAACACGAAAUCGUACCCCAAACCGACACAGGUGGUCAGGUAGAGAAUACCAAGGCGCUUGAGAGAACUCGGGUGAAGGAACUAGGCAAAAUGGUGCCGUAACUUCGGGAGAAGGCACGCUGACACGUAGGUGAAGUGAUUUACUCAUGGAGCUGAAGUCAGUCGAAGAUACCAGCUGGCUGCAACUGUUUAUUAAAAACACAGCACUGUGCAAACACGAAAGUGGACGUAUACGGUGUGACGCCUGCCCGGUGCCGGAAGGUUAAUUGAUGGGGUCAGCGCAAGCGAAGCUCCUGAUCGAAGCCCCGGUAAACGGCGGCCGUAACUAUAACGGUCCUAAGGUAGCGAAAUUCCUUGUCGGGUAAGUUCCGACCUGCACGAAUGGCGUAAUGAUGGCCAGGCUGUCUCCACCCGAGACUCAGUGAAAUUGAACUCGCUGUGAAGAUGCAGUGUACCCGCGGCAAGACGGAAAGACCCCGUGAACCUUUACUAUAGCUUGACACUGAACAUUGAGCCUUGAUGUGUAGGAUAGGUGGGAGGCUUUGAAGUGUGGACGCCAGUCUGCAUGGAGCCGACCUUGAAAUACCACCCUUUAAUGUUUGAUGUUCUAACGUGGACCCGUAAUCCGGGUUGCGGACAGUGUCUGGUGGGUAGUUUGACUGGGGCGGUCUCCUCCUAAAGAGUAACGGAGGAGCACGAAGGUUGGCUAAUCCUGGUCGGACAUCAGGAGGUUAGUGCAAUGGCAUAAGCCAGCUUGACUGCGAGCGUGACGGCGCGAGCAGGUGCGAAAGCAGGUCAUAGUGAUCCGGUGGUUCUGAAUGGAAGGGCCAUCGCUCAACGGAUAAAAGGUACUCCGGGGAUAACAGGCUGAUACCGCCCAAGAGUUCAUAUCGACGGCGGUGUUUGGCACCUCGAUGUCGGCUCAUCACAUCCUGGGGCUGAAGUAGGUCCCAAGGGUAUGGCUGUUCGCCAUUUAAAGUGGUACGCGAGCUGGGUUUAGAACGUCGUGAGACAGUUCGGUCCCUAUCUGCCGUGGGCGCUGGAGAACUGAGGGGGGCUGCUCCUAGUACGAGAGGACCGGAGUGGACGCAUCACUGGUGUUCGGGUUGUCAUGCCAAUGGCACUGCCCGGUAGCUAAAUGCGGAAGAGAUAAGUGCUGAAAGCAUCUAAGCACGAAACUUGCCCCGA